rnacentral:lncRNA from 1 species
AGAGUCUGCCAACUACACUGGAAGAUUUAUAUACACAAAUGAGACAGAGCCAAGUAAGCCGCCAACGGCCAUGAAGGUUUAUGAAGAAGGAGAAAAAGAACCUGAUUUCAUUAUGACCCUCGUGUACACGGAUCCUGGAAGUCACAAAUGCAACGUGUAUAAAAUAUCUUCUGUGGAAAACAAAAUAUCCAAUGGUUUACCCAUUUGCGAAAUGCAAAUAAAAGAUAGCCAAGUGAAGAAAGG